AAAGCCUCUAAGCUUCAGAUAGUCAGGAAUCGUACCCCAAACCGACACAGGUGGUCGGGUAGAGAAUACCAAGGCGCUUGAGAGAACUCGGGUGAAGGAACUAGGCAAAAUGGUACCGUAACUUCGGGAGAAGGUACGCUCUUGAUGGUGAAGUCCCUCGCGGAUGGAGCUGACGAGAGUCGCAGAUACCAGGUGGCUGCAACUGUUUAUUAAAAACACAGCACUGUGCAAAAUCGCAAGAUGACGUAUACGGUGUGACGCCUGCCCGGUGCCGGAAGGUUAAUUGAUGGGGUUAGCGCAAGCGAAGCUCUUGAUCGAAGCCCCGGUAAACGGCGGCCGUAACUAUAACGGUCCUAAGGUAGCGAAAUUCCUUGUCGGGUAAGUUCCGACCUGCACGAAUGGCGUAAUGAUGGCCACGCUGUCUCCACCCGAGACUCAGUGAAAUUGAAAUCGCUGUGAAGAUGCAGUGUACCCGCGGCUAGACGGAAAGACCCCGUGAACCUUUACUACAGCUUGGCACUGAACAUUGAACCUACAUGUGUAGGAUAGGUGGGAGGCUAUGAAGACGUGACGCCAGUUGCGUUGGAGCCGUCCUUGAAAUACCACCCUUGUAUGUUUGAUGUUCUAACUUAGACCCAUUAUCUGGGUUGAGGACAGUGCCUGGUGGGUAGUUUGACUGGGGCGGUCUCCUCCCAAAGAGUAACGGAGGAGCACGAAGGUGGGCUAAUCACGGUUGGACAUCGUGAGGUUAGUGCAAUGGCAUAAGCCCGCUUAACUGCGAGAAUGACGGUUCGAGCAGGUGCGAAAGCAGGUCAUAGUGAUCCGGUGGUUCUGUAUGGAAGGGCCAUCGCUCAACGGAUAAAAGGUACUCCGGGGAUAACAGGCUGAUACCGCCCAAGAGUUCAUAUCGACGGCGGUGUUUGGCACCUCGAUGUCGGCUCAUCACAUCCUGGGGCUGAAGUCGGUCCCAAGGGUAUGGCUGUUCGCCAUUUAAAGUGGUACGCGAGCUGGGUUUAGAACGUCGUGAGACAGUUCGGUCCCUAUCUGCCGUGGGCGUUGGAAGAUUGAAGGGGGCUGCUCCUAGUACGAGAGGACCGGAGUGGACGAACCUCUGGUGUUCGGGUUGUGUCGCCAGACGCAUUGCCCGGUAGCUAAGUUCGGAAUUGAUAAGCGCUGAAAGCAUCUAAGCGCGAAGCGAGC
rnacentral:rRNA from 1 species